GAUGAACGCUGGCGGCGUGCCUAAUACAUGCAAGUCGAGCGAACAGACGAGGAGCUUUCUCCUCUGACGUUAGCGGCGGAAGGGUGAGUAACACGUGGAUAACCUACCUAUAAGACUGGGAUAACUUCGGGAAACCGGAGCUAAUACCGGAUAAUAUAUUGAACCGCAGGGUUCAAUAGUGAAAGACGGUUUUGCUGUCACUUAUAGAUGGAUCCGCGCCGCAUUAGCUAGUUGGUAAGGUAACGGCUUACCAAGGCAACGAUGCGUAGCCGACCUGAGAGGGUGAUCGGCCACACUGGAACUGAGACACGGUCCAGACUCCUACGGGAGGCAGCAGUAGGGAAUCUUCCGCAAUGGGCGAAAGCCUGAUGGAGCAACGCCGCGUGAGUGAUGAAGGUCUUCGGAUCGUAAAACUCUGUUAUUAGGGACGAACAAAUGUGUAAGUAACUAUGCACGUCUUGACGGUACCGAAUCAGAAAGCCACGGCUAACUACGUG
rnacentral:rRNA from 1 species